rnacentral:rRNA from 1 species
CUACGGGACUCCAGUGAGGAAUAUUGCACAAUGGGGGGAACCCUGAUGCAGCAACGCCGCGUGGAGGAUGACGCAUUUCGGUGUGUAAACUCCUUUUAUAUGUCAAGAAAAUGACGGUAGCAUAUGAAUAAGCACCGGCUAACUCCGUGCCAGCAGCCGCGGUAAUGCGGAGGGUGCAAGCGUUACUCGGAAUCACUGGGCGUAAAGGACGCGUAGGCGGGUUGGAAAGUCAGGUGUGAAAUCCUACAGCUUAACUGUAGAACUGCACUUGAAACUUCUAAUCUAGAGUAUGGGAGGGGGAGAUGGAAUUAGUGGUGUAGGGGUAAAAUCCGUAGAUAUCACUAGGAAUACCUAAAGCGAAGGCGAUCUCCUGGAACAUUACUGACGCUAAGGCGUGAAAGCGUGGGGAGCAAACAGGAUUAGAUACCCGUGUAGUC